rnacentral:rRNA from 1 species
UUCGCAAUGCCCGAAAGGGUGACGAAGCGACGCCGCGCGCGGGAAGAAGGCCUUCGGGUUGUAAACCGCUGUCGGGAGUUAAGAAAUGUAAGGAUGUUAAUAGCAUCUUUGCUUGACUAAGGCUCCGGAGGAAGCCACGGCUAACUCUGUGCCAGCAGCCGCGGUAAUACAGAGGCGGCAAGCGUUGUUCGGAAUUAUUGGGCGUAAAGAGCACGUAGGCGGCUAUGUAAGUCGGUUGUGAAAGCCUUCCGCUCAACGGGAGAACAGCAUCCGAUACUGCAUGGCUUGAGUGCGGGAGGGGAGAGUGGAACUUCUGGUGGAGCGGUGAAAUGCGUAGAUAUCAGAAGGAACGCCGGCGGCGAAAGCGGCUCUCUGGCCCAUAACUGACGCUGAGUGUGCGAAAGCUAGGGGAGCAAACGGGAUUAGAUACCCCGGUAGUCCUAGCCGUAAACGAUGGGCACUAAGUAGAGGGGUUUU